rnacentral:lncRNA from 1 species
GAUAUAUAUUAGAUAUUGAAUUUAUGAAACGUUUCAUUAUUUGGACUCUCCCAUGACAAGAUAUGAAUCUUUUGUUACAAGCAUAUAAAGCAGAAAAUUAUGCGACUAAGAUAAAAGUCGAACAAUAUAAAGCAAAAGAGAAGUUGAAAUAUUUAAGCCCUCGAAGUCUUCAAGUGUAUUCAAGUUGAAGUCCCCAAGUUGGAAUCUUCAACUCCAUCGGUCUUCAAGUUGAAGUCUUCAAAUCCGUUGAUCUUUCAAGUUAAAAUAUUUAGGCCCUCCAAGUCUCAAAGUUGAAGUCUUCAAGUCCGUUGAUCUUCAAGUUGAAGUCUUAAAAUUUGCUGAUCUUCAAGUUGAAAUAUUUAGGCCCUCCAAGUCUCAAAGUUGAAGUCUUCAAAUUCGUCGGUCUUGAAGUCUGCAAAGUCUACCAAAUCUUCAAAGUUUUCCAAGUGUUCAAGUCGAUGUCGUCUUCGAUUUGAAGCUUUAUAACUUUUCAAUCUUAAGGUGGACAUAUAAGUCCCUUUGCACCUUAAGUUGGCCUUGCCAAUAGAAGGGCCACAUUGAGAGUAAUCUCACCAAUAGUCAUACUAUUUAGAGAAUAAUCUCUCCGGUAAUCGGACCAUAUUGAUAGUAAUCUCUCCGGUAGUUGGGACAUAUUGAGAGUAAUUUCUCCAGUAGUCGGGCCACAUUGAGAGUAAUCGCUCUAGGAGUCGUCCCAUUUUGAGAUUAAUCUCUCCGGUGGUCGGGCCACUUGAGAGUAAUCUCUCCAGUAGUCAGGCUAUUUUGAGAGAAAUCUCUCCGGUAGUCGGGCCAUAUUGAGAGUAAUCUUUUCAAUAGUCGAACAAGAAUGAGUACUCAUCCCCACACACCCCAAGAUUGUCUUCUUCAUGCAUGAAUUAUCUCGUUAAACAAGAACACAUCCUUCUUGUUUGACCUACAAAAAGAAAGAAGGGAAAAAUCCAAUAAAUAAAGAAAAGCAUUAGAAAAGAAGAAAAAAAAAUGAUCUUUAAGUUAACGCUUUCAAGUCCAAAAAAUUAAACUCAAGUGGCUUGAUGCUCAACAAAUUAGAGCCAAGGGGUUUAUAUAGAUCUCCAUAGGAUACUUACAUUAGUAUAUUGACGAUGUGG